rnacentral:rRNA from 1 species
UACGGAGGGUGCAAGCGUUAUCCGGAUUUACUGGGUUAAAGGGUGCGUAGGUGGAUUGGUAAGUCAGUGGUGAAAUACUUUCGCUUAACGAAGGAACUGCCAUUGAUACUAUCAAUCUUGAAUGUAGUGGAGGUAGGCGGAAUGCGUCAUGUAGCGGUGAAAUGCUUAGAUAUGACGCAGAACACCAAUUGCGAAGGCAGCUUGCUACACUACUAUUGACACUGAGGCACGAAAGCGAUGGGGAUCAAACAG